rnacentral:rRNA from 1 species
GAAUAUUGGACAAUGGGCGCAAGCCUGAUCCAGCCAUACCGCGUGGGUGAAGAAGGCCUUCGGGUUGUAAAGCCCUUUUGUUGGGAAAGAAAAGCAGUCGGCUAAUACCCGGUUGCUCGGACGGUACCCAAAGAAUAAGCACCGGCCAACUCCGUGCCAGCAGCGGCGGUAAUACGAAGGGUGCAAGCGUUACUGGGGAUUACUGGGCGUAAAGCGGGCGUAGGUGUUUGUUUAAGUCUGUGGUGAAAGCCCUGGGCUCAACCUGGGACGUGCAGUGGAUACUGGGCGACUAGAGUGUGGUAGGGGGUAGUGGAAUUCCCGGUGUAGCAGUGAAAUGCGUAGAGAUCGGGAGGAACAUCCAUGGCGAAGGCAGCUACCUGGACCAACACUGACACUGAGGCACGAAAGCGUGGGGAGCAAACAG